rnacentral:rRNA from 1 species
AUUGAACGCUGGCGGCAGGCCUAACACAUGCAAGUCGAGCGGAGCGGCGGACGGGUGAGUAAUGCCUAGGAAUCUGCCUGGUAGUGGGGGCUAACGUCCGGAAACGGGCGCUAAUACCGCAUACUCUCAGAUGAGCCUAGGUCGGAUUAGCUAGUUGGGGGGGAAAAGGCCUACCAAGGCGACGAUCCGGAACUGGUCUGAGAGGAUGAUCAGUAACACUGUAACUGAGACACGGUCCAGACUCCUACGGGAGUCAGCAGUGGGGAAUAUUGGACAAUGGGCGAAAGCCUGAUCCAGACAUGCCGCGUGUGUGAAGAAGGUCUUCGGAUUGUAAAGCACGUUAAGUUGGGAGGCGUUACCAACAGAAUAAGCACCGGCUAACUUCGUGCCAGCGGCCGCGGUAAUUC